UGUCGCUUGGGUUACCAGCACUACCGGCGAAGCCCAAGGACUCUGCAAUGGCUCUAUAACUCAUAGUUUGAGCAUCUCUUGGAGUUCUGCCAGAAUGUUGUCUCUAACUGCCGCAGAGAUACGGUAGGGUUGUUGCCUGAGUGGGGUUUCCCCUUGGGUCUCGACUCAGUGGACCGCAGCAGAGGUGUACCCGGGUAGGGCAGAGAACAUGUCCCUGUAUCCCUGGAGCAGCUGAGAGGCCUCACUCUUUUCCUGGG